ACGAACGCUGGCGGCAUGCCUAACACAUGCCAGUCGAACGAGACCUUCGGGUCUAGUGGCGCACGGGUGCGUAACGCGUGGGAACCUGCCCUUAGGUUCGGAAUAACUCCCCGAAAGGGGUGCUAAUACCGGAUAAUGUCUUCGGACCAAAGAUUUAUCGCCUUUGGAUGGGCCCGCGUUGGAUUAGCUAGUUGGUAGGGUAAAAGCCUACCAAGGCGACGAUCCAUAGCUGGUCUGAGAGGAUGAUCAGCCACACUGGGACUGAGACACGGCCCAGACUCCUACGGGAGGCAGCAGUGGGGAAUAUUGGACAAUGGGCGAAAGCCUGAUCCAGCAAUGCCGCGUGAGUGAUGAAGGCCUUAGGGUUGUAAAGCUCUUUUACCCGGGAUGAUAAUGGCAGUACCGGGAGAAUAAGCUCCGGCUAACUCCGUG
rnacentral:rRNA from 1 species